rnacentral:tRNA from 1 species
GCCACCUUAGCUCAACGGCAGAGCAAACGCUUCGUAAGCGUUAGGUUUUGGGUUCAAAUCCCAAAGGUGGCUACA